rnacentral:rRNA from 1 species
UGAGGAAUAUUGGUCAAUGGGCGCAAGCCUGAACCAGCCAUGCCGCGUGCAGGAUGAAGCAUCUAUGGUGUGUAAACUGCUUUUGUACGGGAAGAAACCACCCCUCGUGAGGGGUAUUGACGGUACCGUAAGAAUAAGGAUCGGCUAACUCCGUGCCAGCAGCCGCGGUAAUACGGAGGAUCCAAGCGUUAUCCGGAAUCAUUGGGUUUAAAGGGUCCGUAGGCGGUUUAAUAAGUCAGUGGUGAAAGCCCAUCGCUCAACGAUGGAACGGCCAUUGAUACUGUUAGACUUGAAUUACAAGGAAGUAACUAGAAUAUGUAGUGUAGCGGUGAAAUGCAUAGAUAUAGGAAGGAACACCAGUGGCGAAGGCAAUCCCCUGGACCUGUACUGACGCUCAUGCACGAAAGCGUGGGGAGCAAACA